rnacentral:ncRNA from 1 species
GCGACGGUUGGGAGAGAGGAAGCAAUAGCGAAAUCGUGGCUUGACGAACAGGAAUCAGAUACUAAGGCGUAUCAAGCGGACAAGUCGGCAAAACGCGACGAAGUUCCCAAAGGUGACCGUAACCUUGAUGCGUAAAUCUGGCGAGUAAACGAUGAAAGAUG